rnacentral:misc_RNA from 1 species
AGCAGGAUCAUUUCCAAUAUUGAAGUGGUUUCUGGAAUCCUGUGAGAGAUGGAUGGGUCAGUGAUAGGUCUGGGGAAACCUAUGAAGAAGUCAUAGGCAGGCUGCUGUGCUGUGUCAAACCCAUCUGUAGAGAGACAGGCAGAAACAAGACUUGUCAUCUUGGAUGAAUGACUCAAAAAAGUCAUCGAGAAUGAAUGACUGAGUGCCCGGAUUGAAACCGCAGAGACACAACCGGGACAGCGAGCGGCGCCCAUGAAAAACUACCCAGCAUUGGAAAGGUAGGAGCCACCCCCAAUUAUUAUUUACCAAAUGGCAUUUCCCAGUGGAUCUCUUGGCUUGUGGAUUGAGGAAGACCGCGGCAAAAGGCGAUACUCGUAAUGAAUUGCAGAAUACCGCGAAUUAUGGGACGUUGAACGCACACUGCACCGUUUGGGCUAUCCCUUCGGUAUAUAUCGCUCAGUGCGUAUUUCAACAUCAUAACCAUCAAUCAUUUGGACUUCAUUGUUCAUCUGAUGCCUGGUGGUUUGAAUACGGACUCUUGCUUGAUUCACUUCAAGCCAUUGUCUCAGAUGGAGAGCAAAUCUGAUGGCCUCUUUACAUCUGUUAAUCUUGAACAGAGUACUGAAGAGGUAUUGGGGGCCUUGGGACAGGAGAGUGUUUACACUCAGACUGUGUGAAGGUCUAAAGUCGUUCGGUUAGUGUUUGGUUUGUUAUUGAAUGGAGAUACCUCGUGUAACCCUUCUUUCUUUCGACUGAACCACACUGUGCCUUUUGAACGCAGCUCAACUCCAAGAGGUGUGAUACCCUUUUGGUGAGUGGGUAGUGUUGGGUCGGACUAACAAUCCGUGUCAACAGCUAUCUCAACCUUGCGCCUGAGUGAUGUAAAAUUACGGGCUGAACUUAAGCAUAUCAAUAAGCCCAGGAAAAGAAAGCAACUGCGAUUGCACUAGUAACGGCGAGUGAAAAUGCAAAAGCCCAUCCCUGAAUCGAUGGCGGACGCAAGCAGAAACCAUCGAACUGUAGGGUAAGCACCUGUGGGUAAGAGACAUGUGGGGGUAAAAUUGCUUGGAAUAGCAUACUAUGAAGCGUGACAGUCGCGUUACGCCCCUUCCAUCGUUUCACCAACGCUCACGGGCUGCAAGAGUCGGGCUGUUUGGGACUGCAGCUCUAAAUGUCGGAUAUACCCCCGACAAGGCUAAAUACUACCACAAGACCGAUAGCGAACAAGUAGAGUGAUCGAAAGAUGAAAAGAACUUUGAAAAGAGAGUUAAAAGUGCGUGAAACUGGGGAGUGGUAAGGUAUUGGGAUCCAUCGACUGUUGCAAUCCCCCGGGGUUACAACAUGGUAGAAAGGCGUAGUUGGCACACCGGUUUGGGUGAAGCUUCGGGCCGAGGCUCUAAGUUCCCUUUUCUCGAGUUGUUGGCUGCGUCGUAAAGCAAUCUGAGGCCGUCAGGUGUUCUGCAGUAGCCGAUAUGUGAAUGUAGCGUAUAGAUCUUCGGAUCUGUGCCUAUUGAGUGUACCGGUUGCUGUAGUGUGUUUGAUACACUCAGAUUAAUUCUGCCUAGAAUGGUCUUAAUACACCAGUCUUGAAACACGGACCAAGGAGUCUACAGUUGCAGCGAGCAUUAUGGUGAUUGAAACCAUAACUGCGAAUUGAAAGAAAUUAGGAUACGAUCCGAAAGGUGCAGUAUCGUCCGUCACCGAUCAAUUGGAAAGGUGUAUGAGAUCAAGCUGUAGCUUUGGGACCCGAAAGAUGGUGAUCUUUUCCUGAAGAGGUCGAAGGCGGACGAAAGUUUGCUGGAGGACCGUGUUAUUGUUACGGUCAAUUGCUGUGGUAUCAGUAGAGAAAGACUGAUAAGCAAAGAGAUUAAUAAUCAAGACACUCAAACUAUGACAUGAUCAUGUCAUAGCCAAUUGAGACUCUCAAUUGGUCCAACGACUUAACAAGUGUCAUACUCUGAGAGUAUUGAUAUAAAGUCUACAGGUCUAAUGAGAAUAGACUUGAAAGGUAGCUGUACUGACGUGCAAAUCGUUUGUCGGAUUUGGGUAAAGGGGCGAAAGACUCAUCGAACUAUCUAGUAGCUGGUUCCCUC